GAGAGAGAUACAGAACAGUGUGCCAUAAAUUCGUGACUCCGCGCCAGAUGCAGUUUUGCUCCCAACAGCGCGUGUAGUUGUAGUUAAAUGGAGAUCGCGGAGGCAAGAGGAGCAUCCAAGUGCGUGGAAAAAAUGGAGAAAGAAGUGGCGCCCAAGAAGCGACAGUGUUACCGCACAACAGUGCUGAACAUAAUCUCGUCUUUAUGUUCAGUGGCAUCCAUCGCCUUUUGCAUUCUUCUGAGCAUUAACGCAGCUGAUAUUAAGAACCGAGUUGUGGAUUUGGAGAGUGGGAAUGGCGAGCACACCUUUAUCCGCGCCCCUGGCUACUCCAUGGAUGCUUUUAAUUCACUGAUUGAACAAAGAGUGGAUGAGCUGCUCUCUCAGCGCUCUUAUGAACAUUUUGUCAAGAUCCGGACUGCCAGACAAGCAUCACCUGAAUGCAACUGCCCUCCAGGACCUCCGGGAAAGCGAGGAAGAAGAGGCCGCAACGGAGAACCUGGACCUCCUGGCCCUCCUGGUCCAAAGGGUGAAAAGGGGGAUCAAGGCGACCAGGGACCACGGAUGGUCUUCCCUAAGAUCAAUCAUGGCUUUCUUUCCGCUGACCAGCAGCUCAUAAAGCGGCGGCUCAUUAAGGGAGAUCAAGGGCAAGCAGGACCACCUGGGCCUCCAGGGCCACCGGGCCCUCCUGGGCCAAGGGGACCUCCAGGGGACACUGGGAAAGAUGGGCCCAGAGGUGUACCUGGUCUACCAGGUGAUCCAGGGCAGCCUGGAGAUUUAGGACCCAUGGGGCCCGAAGGGCCAGAAGGGCAGAAGGGUUCACUUGGGCUUCCAGGUGUCCCAGGUGUUGACGGACUGAAGGGGGAUGUUGGCAUCCCAGGAUUGGACGGUGUUCCUGGAGCCAAGGGUGAAAUGGGAGAGCCAGGUGAAAAGGGCGAUAUGGGUGAAGACGGACCCAAAGGUGAAAUUGGAGAGAAGGGAGAUGCGGGCUCCUCUGCAGCAGGAAUCAAGGGUGAACCUGGAGAGCCUGGACGAAGUGGACAAAAGGGAGAGCCAGGACUUCCAGGGCUGCCUGGACUCCCAGGGAUAAAGGGUGAGCCUGGAUUCCUCGGUCCCCAGGGAGAACCAGGGCUUCCAGGACUCCCAGGAACAAAGGGUGAGAGAGGUGACCACGGACCACCAGGAAAGGGCGAAAGAGGAGAAAUUGGACCCCUUGGACCAAAGGGUUCCCAAGGAGAGUCUGGUACACCUGGUCCUAAAGGGUCAAAGGGGGAGACUGGAGAUAAAGGAGACUUGGGAUCUAUUGGCCCAAGGGGCCCUCCUGGGCAGAAAGGAGACCAAGGAGCCACUGAAAUCAUCGACUACAAUGGAAACAUCCAGGAGGCUCUACAGAAGAUUACCACUAUUACAGUAACGGGUCCUCCUGGACCUACUGGGCCAAUGGGACCGCAGGGUUUAAAGGGGGACCGUGGUAUGCCUGGUCUUCCUGGACUCGAUGGUGAAAGAGGCUACAAAGGUUCCAAAGGAGACAUGGGAAUGCCCGGCGCUUCAGGGGAGAAAGGAACAACUGGUUUACCUGGGCUACCUGGUGUCAAUGGGAUGAAAGGGGACAAGGGAGAUUCAGGUCUACCUGGUCCUCAAGGUCCAUCAAUCAGUGGUCCUCCAGGACCACCAGGGCCACAUGGACCCCCAGGACCCAUGGGCCCCCAUGGUUUCCCUGGACCAAAGGGGGAACCUGGUCUGCAUGGUGUGAAGGGGAUGCGAGGGGAACCAGGACACAAAGGGGACCGCGGACCACUGGGGCUCCCCGGCACGGAUGGGCCUUCGGGUCCAGCUGGUCCAGCUGGGCCGAAGGGUGACAUAGGUGAGAAAGGAGCACAGGGCGAGCCUGGACCAAGAGGACCUUAUGGACUGCCUGGAGCUGCUGGAACACCAGGCUUGGAUGGGUUGCCAGGCUUAAGGGGAGAGAAAGGCGACGUUGGGGAAAGAGGAGAAAAGGGUUUCCGGGGAUUUAAGGGUGAAAAGGGGGAACCAGGGCAGCCAGGUCUGGAUGGGCUGGAUGCCCCAUGCCAAUUGGUACAGUAUUUCUCUUUUUCCUCCACCUCUUGCCCAUGCAUGCUGCUCACCUUCAGUCAUUACUGACAGCAAACCAUGCAUGACUUGAGAGCUUAACAAUCAUGAACAUGCCUUAUUUGAAGCACAGCUCCAUUUUCCAUUCAUGAAUUGUUUAAAAAUAAACAAAAAAAACACACGCACCAACAUAUACUUCACUAACUUCCUGACUGCAAGCAGCCUCUUUUAGAUAUCACACAUCAUGACAAGUGAAGUAUACAAAUAAACAUAUGGUUGUUGAUAUAAUUGAUACUUAAAUCUAUCCCUCUAACUGAAUCCUUCCAUUCCCCUGAUUAAAACCUGAAAAGGGUUCUGUUUAAAUCCUGUUUCCUUCAAGCUGAUACCUCCAUAGCCCCAGUUACCUAUUUAACCCGAUGCUAACACAGACUCCUUUACUGAUGCCCAUGCUACUGGCACAUGGACCCCUCCUCUACUCUGUUAACUCCCCCUUUCCCUUUCCUGUAUUUGUACCAAUUGGGCCAGACCACAACUAGAAGAGAAAAUCAGUCAAGUGGUUACAGUUCCAGACCUAUUCAAGAUGAGAACAUGAAUUUUGAUGAUUUUAUGAUUCCUUCUGCUGCUAAGACAAUACUGUGUUAUGCAUGGGAGUUCUAACACUGUGAGUAGAAUGUUUAGUGGUUAAAGUACAUGAGAACUAAUUGUAAGAGAACAUUGUGACUAUAUAAGCAUAAUGCAAUGAAAUGAGUUAUAGGUAAGAAAAAAUCAUAUAUCACAAAUGUCAUCUCAUUAAAUGUCAUCUAUAUUCAUUGACUUGAACCAGCUGCAAUGACUUUAUCUUAAGAUAAACUCCCUGAUUUUGUAAGUGUUUUUCAUCUCAACUUUGAGAUGAACUAUAAUAAAAUCAGAGAGUAGAAUCAUCAGUAUAUUGAUGUGCAUGAGCCACUGUAUUUUUUGCUGUGUAUUAUGUGCAUGGAUGAGAAUACACUCUUGCAGUUUUCAUUACAUUCAUUAUUCAAAUUAUUCAAAAUUCAAAUUCCUGCUACAUAAAAAUCCUUUUUAAAGAACUUAAUUUCACAUCAAGUGCAAUGAGUCAGAGAAAGUUUGUGCAGUUUACAUUGUGACAUUUCCUUCCCUAAACUAGACACUGUAGCAUUAAAUUCAGUAUUUCAACAUAGACAUAGUGAUGCAAUUUUCAGCAGCUACACAUUAAACAAACUUUCAAUUUUGAGGACUUCAAUACCCAGAAAUCCUAUAUUUUUAACUCUUUGAGAAAGCAGUAAACACAGUUUACUCGUGUUGACUGUCAGUUUCUAAUCAUCAGGUAAAAGAAAUAGUAAGUAAGUAGUAGAAAUAGUAUAAUUAAUGUAGAUGUGAGAAGUGAGGUUUCUGAUGAACACUCCUCUUUUGCUUCUGGUUUGAUUUGAAUUAAAUUAUCUGUGGGAAAAAAACUUUCUAUGAAGUAGCUUAAAGUAUGACAUUUGUUAUGUGUUCUUGUGGGUUCAAAUCUAGUCAUUUAUCAAACUUUAAAUCAUUGUGUGAGCUGAAUCUAUUAACAGCAAACCUCCCAUUCCUGUUUACAGUCCUCAUAUUUUUGUUGUUUCCCCUGCUACUCUCCUCUAAACAGGGCCCAGAUGGAUUACCAAUGCCUGGUUGCUGGCAGAAGUGAUCACUCUAACCUGAAACGCAUGGAGUUUGUAAAUAAUGCUUCUUUUAUGGUAUUUAUAGUUUUUUUAAUGGAUUAAAAAAAAAGUCUAAAAGAAAAAGAAGUCAAUGUGUACAAUGAUACAAAAAGAGAUAACUGUCCCGAGUUUCACGCCCUAAGCUGCUUCUACUCACAUCACCGUGUGGAAAAAACAACAACAACCGUGUGUGUGUGUUCGCUCUCUCACAUCCACAUCGUGGUGGAGUUCAGAUCCUCAGCUGGCAAGAGAACUUGUCUCUGUAGUCUUUGCAUGGCUCAGACUGGAGCGGCGCAGCCCGGCCAGACUCACGGUGGUGAAAAGGAGACGUGGAAAGAAGGAGGAGGAGGAGGAAGUGGAGGAUGGGGGGGAUCUGGACUGGCUCUCUAACACCAAACGCUAGGUGUUUUGUGUCGUUUCGUCUCAACAAGCUCACCACCCAUUCAUGCAGCACUGUGCCAAACAGAACAUUGCACCCCUGACCCUGCAAAAGCAUGAGUAGUAAUAAUGAAACUAUAUUUAUAUGUAUUGUACAUACAUGUCACUGUUUUGUGGUUGCGUCAUGGCUUCUGCAGAAAAAGAUAAAAAAAACAACACUAACAUAAGAAAACAACAACCCCAGAGCUCUAAAUUAGUAAUUUUUUGCUUUCCUUUAAUCUUCCCAAGGGAGUCACGCCAUGGCUGGUAGCCUGAAAAUCCCCAGAAAGUAAAAAGCUGUUGGUUAUUGUUGCUUUAUUGUGGUGAUGCCUGCAGAGAGAGAGGGUAUGAUAUCAGCAGGUUUUCACUGUUGCACUCAGCAAUCAUCGUCGUUGUGGUGCCUCCCAGCAGCCACAUGUCUGCGGACAAGAGGGGAGAACUUAGCAGGCUCUGCACUGACAGGAAAACAAAUCGGGCUCACGUGGAUUUGAGAUUGGAGAGGCCUGCUCGAGGAACCGCCUCUGAGCACGGGAAUGGAUUCCGCAGGAGAGUCGCUAAGAGUCUCAUCGAUCUCCAUAGAGAUCAGCUGGAGCAUCUGCCUCUCCUGACAGGCAGCGCUUCAAGGUCUACUGAGAGCGUUAACAGAAUGCAAUCAUGUUUUUUCUUUAUUUUGUUUUUGCUCUCAUUCUUUAACAUUGUUUGUAUUUUGUGUAUAAUAGCCUUUGGUGCCUCAAGCUUUUAUUCAUUCCUUUAUCAGAAAUGUACAACUUUAUAUCAUAUUUGGAAUUUUUGGAAUGGUGUUUUGUUUCAGAAGGGUAUGCUUUGUUUGGUUAAAAAAAGGUUGUAAGAGUAUUGAAAAGUCACACAUUGCGCACUGUUUUUCAUACGAGUUGUUUUUACAGGAUGUUGAAAUAGCAUGUUAGGUCAUAGCUUCACUUGAGCACACUGUAAGAUUGCAUCCAUGGUGACUGUGCAGCCUCUGAUCUUACUAGUGGUUUUGAAGAAGCUCAUCGUUUGUACAAAACGCAUCCGACAGUGUAACAAAUAUGCUACUUGUUCAUUCUGGACUUGUUGUAUGGGAUGUUAAUUGUACAGUGUUGUCAAUUCACUGCAUGUACACAAUUUAUGACUUAUGGAUUUCUUAAAUAUUGAAAAUUAGCAUUGAUUUGAGCAAGUGUAUCGGAGGCGUAACACGUUGUUUCAGGGUUGGGGUUCAGGUUCAGCUCAGCAUACAGCAGCUGGUAGUGUCAGAUGUGUCAGAUUAUGUUGAACAGAACAAUCUCACACUGCUCUUUUACACCUCAUGUAUUGUCUUAAAACAUGUAUUACAGUGCAAGGUAAGCUAAAUCGAACAGACGCAGUUAAUUGGUAAACUUCCAUUAGCUACACCACAGUCUAACUGGUGGCCAGUUAUGUCACAUUCCAUAUCAGAUGGAGCAAAAAGUGGAGCAGUACGUCAACAUAGUUUAUUCAUCUUUUCUUAUACUCAGAUUGCCUCCUGACAUAGUAGGUGCUAUGCAAGGUGAUACUCGGUACUUCUUUUCUUUACAACAUUAGAAAUAUGCAUGAUGAUUUACUGUAAGGGCAGAUGUGAAAAACCAACAUUUUGUUGUGAUGUAGCAGCAACCACAGGUGGAUUGAAGAAGAUUUUUUUCCCAUAUGGUUUCUGUUUGAUUGUACAGUUCAUCUCAUCGUUAUAAAGAAUGGGUGCACAUCUGUAUAGAUUAUAAUGGUGCUAUCUGAUAGUAGGUCAACAGCAGCUCAAAUGAUGCGCUCUACCAGUGGCAAGAACUACACAACAGGUUUCUUUAUUGUUGUUGGGGUUUUAUGUAUGUAACAAUUUUAAGGUUUUUUUUUUGUGCAUAUAUUUGUGUAUUUGUCUCAAUAUUUUAAGUGGUACAUUAUUUAUUUUUCUAUAAUUUCUUAAAUGAAGGCAUUUUGGUUCUAAACAGCAUUCCUUUCAGUUGUUUUGAUGUCAGUUUCUCUGUUGAUAUUAUGAGAAUUUUGGAUCAUGCUAUGGCAUCACAUAACAGUUAUGCAAACGGUGCAGUGUGAGGGAAGGUGGUCAUUUACAAAUUACAGACCAGUGUGUAUUCACUGUGCAUUUAAUUCAGCUUAUAGGCCUUACAAUUGAAUACAUCUGCUUUUAUUUAAUUUUGUGUGUCAAAAAGCUAACUAUGACAACAGAGUUGGCCUGAAUGUUGACAGGCCCAGCCAAUGCAACCGCGUAACAAGUUAAAUAUCACAUCUUUUUCUCACGCUCUCUCUUCUCUCUCUCUUUACAUUGAAUGUAGUUUGAUAUAUGUAUAGUGGGUUAUUAAUGUACUGUUAAAAUGUGCUCAUUUGACAAGAAGUGCAAUUUAUACUUUGGUUAAUGUGUGUAGCAUCAAAUGCAGCUGUAAUAUCACGUCAUUGUGAUUUCUAUAGCUCCAUUUGCUCAGUUAUGCUACCCUGUAUACCACUACCUGGAAAGAAAAUGUAGUAAUUUAGUAGAAGACGAAGAAAUCAAUGUAAACACAGACCUUUCAUUAAAUAUCAGAUUUUGAUUGGUUUAAACUUCCUCAAAUACUGUCCCUUCACUCAUGUUUUAAAAUGCUAUUUCCAUUACUUAAUAUUUACUAAGUUUUGCAUUGUGUUUUUUUAUUUUGUGUUUUGAUUUCCAGCCUUUGUUACAGUAUUUGUUCUCACAAAUUGCUGUAUCUUUAGCAUGUGCAGCUACUUUUUUAAUUGAUUUUUUUAUUUGAUUGAUUUUUUUUUUUGUUUGUUUGUUUAUUUUUGAUUGUUGUGUUUCCUUGUUAAAUUUUCAAAUUUAGUUUAUUCUGCUAUUAGCAGAAGUGCCAAAACCUUUUAUUUCCAUAUCAGUAUUAGCAGAGCUGGUCAGGGGCUCCAAAAUGACUUACUGAUAAGCUAAGUCUGUGUGUUUGUCAUUGUUACAGAAAAUGCUCUGAAUCAAGUUUUCCUCUGUAGAAACAGUACACGCCCAUGAGCCACACUUCAACACAACCUCUCAGAUAAGGGUAAAAGUGCUGGUGUAGGAUAACUAAGUCACAUUCAUCUGCUUUAUGUUCUCUUAUUCAGAACUCUGGAACUCUUACACAUACUCCCCAUUGCACCACAGCCUUACUCCUAUAAGUAUACUGCCACAUACUCUCCAGAAUAAAAUACAUUGUUGGUACAGGACAACAAAUUCAAAGCAAAAUCCACAUUGUGGCUUUUUUGAGUUAAAACUGCAUUGUUUUGGUCGUGGUAUAUGUUCAGUUUCUGUUCUGCAUUUGUAUUACAGUACUCUUUUUUUUUUUUUUACCCACUUGAUUGACAUUUCUUUAAAGACCCUUGUGUU